GAAGAUGUAUGUGGUGCACUGUGAGGACUGUGCACGACAACGCAACCCAAACCUCUCCAAUGUAGUAGUGCUGGAGCAAUGCCGCAUGGAGGAGCUCAUGAGCGUUUAUGACUCUUUCAGCCUGACUACCAGUUCCAGCUCCCGAUGAGGACGUCUCAGCCCUUGCCCUCACACAGCCAUAACCAAAACUCCUGUUCGCAGGACGAGAUCUUUUAUUUUAGUCCAGUUAAGACUUAAAACAUUUACCGUUGGG